rnacentral:rRNA from 1 species
AAGUCGAGCGGUAACAUUUCAAAGCUUGCUUUGAAGAUGACGAGCGGCGGACGGGUGAGUAAUGCUUGGGAAUAUGCCUUAUGGUGGGGGACAACAGUUGGAAACGACUGCUAAUACCGCAUAAUGUCUACGGACCAAAGGGGGGGAUCUUCGGACCUCUCGCCAUUUGAUUAGCCCAAGUGAGAUUAGCUAGUUGGUGAGGUAAUGGCUCACCAAGGCGACGAUCUCUAGCUGGUUUGAGAGGAUGAUCAGCCACACUGGGACUGAGACACGGCCCAGACUCCUACGGGAGGCAGCAGUGGGGAAUAUUGCACAAUGGGCGCAAGCCUGAUGCAGCCAUGCCGCGUGUGUGAAGAAGGCCUUCGGGUUGUAAAGCACUUUCAGUUGUGAGGAAAGUUUGAUGGUUAAUACCCAUUAGAUGUGACGUUAACAACAGAAGAAGGACCGGCUAACUCCGUGCCAGCAGCCGCGGUAAUACGGAGGGUCCGAGCGUUAAUCGGAAUUACUGGGCGUAAAGCGCACGCAGGCGGUUUGUUAAGCUAGAUGUGAAAGCCCCGGGCUCAACCUGGGAAUAGCAUUUAGAACUGGCAGGCUAGAGUCUUGGAGAGGGGAGUGGAAUUUCUG